rnacentral:rRNA from 1 species
AUUGAACGCUGGCGGCAGGCCUAACACAUGCAAGUCGAGCGAGCGGCGGACGGGUGAGUAAUGUAUGGGGACUGCCCGAUAGAGGGGGAUAACUACUGGAAACGGUAGCUAAUACCGCAUACUAUCGAUUACCCCAUAUGGGAUUAGCUAUUAGGGGAGGUAAUGGCCCACCUAGGCGACGAUCCCUAGCUGGUCUGAGAGGAUGAUCAGCCACACUGGGACUGAGACACGGCCCAGACUCCUACGGAGGCAGCAGUGGGGAAUAUUGCACAAUGGGCGCAAGCCUGAUGCAGCCAUGCCGCGUGUAUGAAGAAGGCCCUAGGGUUGUAAAGUACUUUCAGUCGGGAGGCGUUACCGACAGAAGAAGCACCGGCUAACUCCGUGCCAGCAGCCGCGGUAAUUC